GUAGGGAAUAUUGCACAAUGGACGAAAGUCUGAUGCAGCAACGCCGCGUGCGCGAUGAAGGCCUUCGGGUUGUAAAGCGCUUUUACGUGGGAAGACGAAGGACGGUACCACGUGAAUAAGGAUCGGCCAACUACGUGCCAGCAGCCGCGGUAACACGUAGGAUUCAAACGUUAUCCGGAUUUACUGGGCGUAAAGCGCGUGCAGGCGGUUUGGAAAGUUGGGUGUGAAAUCUUCGGGCUCAACCCGGAGAGGUCGCCCAAUACUUCCAGACUAGAGGACGGUAGAGGGAGGUGGAAUUCCGGGUGUAGCGGUGAAAUGCGUAGAUACUCGGAGGAACACCAGUGGCGAAGGCGGCCUCCUGGGCCGUUCCUGACGCUCAGACGCGAAAGCUAGGGGAGCGAACGGGAUUAGAAACCCUAGUAGUCC
rnacentral:rRNA from 1 species